UACGUAGGCAGCGAGCGUUGUUCGGAAUUACUGGGCGUAAAGAGUGUGUAGGCGGUGCUCUAAGUUCGGUGUGAAAUCUCCUGGCUUAACUGGGAGGGUGCGCCGAAAACUGGAGUGCUCGAGCGUGGGAGAGGAAAGCGGAAUUCCUGGUGUAGCGGUGAAAUGCGUAGAUAUCAGGAGGAACACCUGCGGUGUAGACGGCUUUCUGGACCAUUGCUGACGCUGAGACGCGAAAGCGUGGGGAGCGAACAGG
rnacentral:rRNA from 1 species